rnacentral:tRNA from 1 species
CGGGGUGUAGCUCAGUUGGCCUAGAGCGCUUGGUUUAGGACCAAGAAGUCGAAGGUUCGAGUCCUUUCACCCCGACCA